CAUUGUUAUUUAGACUGCUAGUGAGCUCUUGGGAUGACGGAGCGGUUCUCAUGUGAUCAUCUAACAGUCUUUCCCAGAGUUCUCUGCUCUCAUCACAUCCCCACGAAGAGGGGUACCUGAAAUUCUCUGGGCUACUGCCUAGGACUGUUUACAGCAGCUCUGAGGAGGAUAGAUCUAUCUGUGGCCCAGCGCUAACCACUGUCUCUGUGGCCCAGCGCUAACCACUGUCUCUGUGGCCCAGCGCUAACCACUGUCUCUGUGGCCCAGCGCUAACCACUGUCUCUGCGGCCCAGCGCUAACCACUGUCUCUGCGGCCCAGCGCUAACCACUGUCUCUGUGGCCCAGCGCUAACCACUGUCUCUGUGGCCCAGCGCUAACCACUGUCUCUGUGGCCCAGCGCUAACCACUGUCUCUGUGGCCCAGCGCUAACCACUGUCUCUGCGGCCCAGCGCUAACCACUGUCUCUGCGGCCCAGCGCUAACCACUGUCUCUGCGGCCCAGCGCUAACCACUGUCUCUGCGGCCCAGCGCUAACCACUGUCUCUGCGGCCCAGCGCUAACCACUGUCUCUGCGGCCCAGCGCUAACCACUGUCUCUGCGGCCCAGCGCUAACCACGGUGUCUCUGCGGCCCAGCGCUAACCACGGUGUCUCUGCGGCCCAGCGCUAACCACGGUGUCUCUGCGGCCCAGCGCUAACCACGGUGUCUCUGCGGCCCAGCGCUAACCACGGUGUCUCUGCGGCCCAGCGCUAACCACGGUGUCUCUGCGGCCCAGCGCUAACCACGGUGUCUCUGCGGCCCAGCGCUAACCACGGUGUCUCUGCGGCCCCGCGCUAACCACGGUGUCUCUGCGGCCCCGCGCUAACCACGGUGUCUCUGCGGCCCCGCGCUAACCACGGUGUCUCUGCGGCCCCGCGCUAACCACGGUGUCUCUGCGGCCCCGCGCUAACCACGGUGUCUCUGCGGCCCCGCGCUAACCACAACUAUCUGGUUGAUUUUUAAUUGAACAUGGAAUAUAAUAAUAAUAUAAUAUAUGCCAUUUAGCUGACGCUUUUAUCCAAAGCGACUUACAGUCAUGUGUGCAUACAUUCUACGUAUGGGUGGUCCCGGGAAUCGAACCCACUACCCUGGCGUUACAAGCGCCAUGCUCUACCAACUGAGCCACAGAAGGACCACUGGAAGGUGUGGCGUUUCAGUGCGUACGUUUUUUUUUUUUUAUGUUGAUGGCUAGUCAGAAGCAGUGACUGUACGGGAUAAUCAACUCAGGGCUUUAUGGACUUACAUUAUUUUCCAGAGAACGUAUAGAGCCCCGAGUCGAUUAUCCCUUCUAUACCAUGGCUAUAUAGAAAUGUCUUCCAACAUCCACUGAAGUAGCUAGCAAGUUUACUAGAUAGUUACAGUAGUUGCCGUGGUAACCAAACACUCGCUAGUUUAGCUAACCAAACCAUCAGUACAAGCUUGCUAUUACGAAAAUCGAAUUCAACAAUAACAAUACUGUUUUCAAUUAAACUUUUACUUACAAAAGCUAUAUAUAUAUAUUAUUAAUUAUAUUUUAUAUAUAAAAGCUGCUCAAACAAAAUAUGUAAAAGUGAACUAUAGCCAUUGAAUUCCACCAUGCAAAUAUACUGUGCGUUAUAGGGAAAUAAUGCACACUCUAGAAUGCCCUGCAAGCCAAUCAGAAAGGAGUAUUCAACAAUGCCAUGAUAUAAAUUGGUUUAAUUGUUAUAUUGAUUGCUAGUCAGAAGCAAUAACUAUACUGGUUUAAUGCAGAGAAUACAGUUUCUAGCUCGUUAUUGGAUAACAUAGAAAUGGACUUUAAAACUGUCACGAGAAUUCUCAUAAUAAUCAGGUAGACUCGGCUUAUGCAAAAGAUUAGUACAGUUUAUUCAGAGAACGUUCUAAAGUCCAUUAUACAAAGACAUCCAUUUUAUAGCUGCCCACAAACAGUAGGUAUCCUACACACAUACUCCCACACAAACAGUAGGUAUCCUACACACAUACUUCCACACAAACAGUAGGUAUCCUACGCGCACAUACUUCCACACAAACAGUAGGUAUCCUACGCGCACAUACUUCCACACAAACAGUAGGUAUCCUACACGCACAUACUUCCACACAAACAGUAGGUGAGUUUUAUCCUUCUCCGUAGUUCUCACCACUGUGUAUCACUACCCAGCCGACAGUUCCAUUCCCCCGAGAUUAGGGAAACCUUGAGCAGUACUCCCUGUGCUCUCAUAGGUUCCUCAGAGGCCUAGCCAGGUCGGUCCCAACACAGUUUAAUUGUUCUCGUUUUUUUUUUCUUCGGCACACACAUACAAGUUCAAAUCCUAAACUACGCCUUGCUCAGUCUGUUUUUCCACUAAUACAGAUACAUUGUUUAACCUAAUUCUGACUAAAACUACACACAUCAUCAAAUUAUAAUUUCAUGAUUCUAAUCAAUUUCAUACAAUUAUAAGGUUUCAGAGUGGAAUUAUUUAAUCAUUAUCUUUCAACAUUUAAAUUAUUUUAUCAAAAACAUGGGCCAACUCCCAAAGAGGUAAAUAACAGAUGCCCCAAACAUCUUUUUAUUUUUUUAUCUCACAAGGAUGUACCUUUUUAUAAGUUAAGCUACUGUAAACAUCAUGCUUACGAUGCAUGGAGCUAACUGGGGAAUUAACUGCAUGGAACUAACUGGGGAAUUAACUGCAUGGAACUAACUGGGGAAUUAACUGCAUGGAACUAACUGGGGAAUUAACUGCAUGGAACUAACUGGGGAAUUGACUGCAUGGAACUAACUGGGGAAUUGACUGCAUGGAACUAACUGGGGAAUUGACUGCAUGGAACUAACUGGGGAAUUGACUGCAUGGAACUAACUGGGGAAUUGACUGCAUGGAACUAACUGGGGAAUUGACUGCAUGGAACUAACUGGGGAAUUGACUGCAUGGAACUAACUGGGGAAUUAACUGUCUACAAGCAGUAAAAUGUCAUUGAGAAUAUAAUGGGGGAUAGUCUGCUCAGUAUAACUGUCUGUACGUGUUUAGUGUUUUUAAACUACGACUAUCAAAACAUUCAAUGAAAUCCUCAGUUUUGGACGUGAAAAAAGUUUCCACCCUUUUCUGGAGGUGGAUACGACAGGCGAUACGACAGGCGAUACGACAGGCGAUACGACAGGCGAUACGACAGGCGAUACGUCAGGCGAUACGACAGGCGACACGACAGGCGACACGACAGGCGAUACGACAGGCGAUACGACAGGCGAUACGACAGGCGAUACGACAGGCGAUACGACAGGCGAUACGACAGGCGACACAGCCUAAAUCACCUUAUUUCUCAAUCUGUUAAUUGUGUUAUGGAAUAAUCUGUUCAGAUUGCUUCAAAUGUUUGUAUUAGGAUAUUAAAGGGCUGUGCUCUCUUAUAGGGCUAUGAGGAUGUUGUGCUCUAUCUGUUAUAGGGCUACUGGGAUGUUGUGCUCUAUCUGUUAUAGGGCUACUGGGAUGUUGUGCUCUAUCUGUUAUAGGGCUACUGGGAUGUUGUGCUGUAUCUGUUAUAGGGCUACUAGGAUGUUGUGCUGUAUCUAUGAUGUUAUAGGGCUACUAGGAUGUUGUGCUGUAUAUAUGAUGUUAUAGGGCUACUGGGAUGUUGUGCUGUAUCUAUGAUGUUAUAGGGCUACUAGGAUGUUGUGCUGUAUAUAUGAUGUUAUAGGGCUACUGGGAUGUUGUACUGUAUCUAUGAUGUUAUAGGGCUACUGGGAUGUUGUACUGUAUCUAUGAUGUUAUAGGGCUACUGGGAUGUUGUACUGUAUCUGAUGUUAUAGGGCUACUGGGAUGUUGUGCUGUAUCUAUGAUGUUAUAGGGCUACUGGGAUGUUGUGAUGUAUCUAUGAUGUUAUAGGGCUACUGGGAUGUUGUGCUGUAUCUAUGAUGUUAUAGGGCUAUGAGGAUGUUGUGCUGUAUCUGUUAUAGGGCUACUGGGAUGUUGUGCUGUAUCUAUGAUGUUAUAGGGCUAUGAGGAUGUUGUGCUGUAUCUGUUAUAGGGCUACUGGGAUGUUGUGCUGUAUCUAUGAUGUUAUAGGGCUACUGGGAUGUUGUGCUGUAUCUGUUAUAGGGCUACUGGGAUGUUGUGCUGUAUCUGUUAUAGGGCUACUGGGAUGUUGUGCUGUAUCUAUGAUGUUAUAGGGCUACUGGGAUGUUGUGCUGUAUCUGUUAUAGGGCUACUGGGAUGUUGUGCUGUAUCUAUGAUGUUAUAGGGCUACUGGGAUGUUGUGCUCUAUCUGUUAUAGGGCUACUGGGAUGUUGUGCUCUAUCUGUUAUAGGGCUACUGGGAUGUUGUGCUGUAUCUAUGAUGUUAUAGGGCUACUAGGAUGUUGUGCUGUAUCUAUGAUGUUAUAGGGCUACUGGGAUGUUGUGCUGUAUCUAUGAUGUUAUAGGGCUACUGGGAUGUUGUGCUGUAUCUGUUAUAGGGCUACUGGGAUGUUGUGCUCUAUCUGUUAUAGGGCUACUGGGAUGUUGUGCUGUAUCUAUGAUGUUAUAGGGCUACUGGGAUGUUGUGCUGUAUCUAUGAUGUUAUAGGGCUACUAGGAUGUUGUAUCUAUGAUGUUAUAGGGCUACUAGGAUGUUGUGCUGUAUCUAUGAUGUUAUAGGGCUACUGGGAUGUUGUGCUGUAUCUGUUAUAGGGCUACUGGGAUGUUGUGCUGUAUCUAUGAUGUUAUAGGGCUACUAGGAUGUUGUGCUGUAUCUAUGAUGUUAUAGGGCUACUGGGAUGUUGUACUGUAUCUAUGAUGUUAUAGGGCUACUGGGAUGUUGUGCUGUAUCUAUGAUGUUAUAGGGCUACUGGGAUGUUGUACUGUAUCUAUGAUGUUAUAGGGCUACUGGGAUGUUGUACUGUAUCUAUGAUGUUAUAGGGCUACUGGGAUGUUGUGCUGUAUCUAUGAUGUUAUAGGGCUACUGGGAUGUUGUACUGUAUCUAUGAUGUUAUAGGGCUACUGGGAUGUUGUACUGUAUCUAUGAUGUUAUAGGGCUACUGGGAUGUUGUGCUCUAUCUGAUGUUAUAGGGCUACUGGGAUGUUGUGCUCUAUCUAUGAUGUUAUAGGGCUACUGGGAUGUUGUGCUGUAUCUAUGAUGUUAUAGGGCUACUAGGAUGUUGUGCUGUAUCUAUGAUGUUAUAGGGCUACUGGGAUGUUGUGCUGUAUCUAUGAUGUUAUAGGGCUACUAGGGUGUUGUGCUGUAUCUAUGAUGUUAUAGGGCUACUGGGAUGUUGUGCUUUAUCUGUGAUGUUAUAGGGCUACUGGGAUGUUGUGCUGUAUCUGUUAUAGGGCUACUGGGAUGUUGUGCUCUCUGUUAUAGGGCUACUGGGAUGUUGUGCUGUAUCUAUGAUGUUAUAGGGCUACUAGGAUGUUGUGCUGUAUCUAUGAUGUUAUAGGACUACUGGGAUGUUGUGCUUUAUCUGUGAUGUUAUAGGGCUACUGGGAUGUUGUGCUGUAUCUAUGAUGUUAUAGGGCUACUAGGAUGUUGUGCUGUAUCUAUGAUGUUAUAGGGCUACUGGGAUGUUGUGCUGUAUCUAUGAUGUUAUAGGGCUACUGGGAUGUUGUGCUGUAUCUAUGAUGUUAUAGGGCUACUGGGAUGUUGUGCUGUAUCUGUUAUAGGGCUACUGGGAUGUUGUGCUGUAUCUGUUAUAGGGCUACUGGGAUGUUGUGCUGUAUCUAUGAUGUUAUAGGGCUACUGGGAUGUUGUGCUGUAUCUGUUAUAGGGCUACUGGGAUGUUGUGCUGUAUCUAUGAUGUUAUAGGGCUACUGGGAUGUUGUGCUGUAUCUGUUAUAGGGCUACUGGGAUGUUGUGCUGUAUCUUGUGUUUCCUUG